GAUGGAGUGUUGGGUGCUUGCACCACCUCUAUCACGGGUUGUCCGGGCAUUGCAGUGCCGCCCGGUUCGGCCCACUAUAA
rnacentral:snRNA from 1 species